rnacentral:lncRNA from 1 species
GAGCAGACAGCUUCCUGCUUCCGAAAGAUCCUGAUCAACAUUUACAUACAUGCCAAUAUAUUUGUCUCUGAAGCUUUACAGAUAUUGGGAUUCAUCACAGCUGAAAAAGGACAUGCAAAUCUGAAGAUGUAAUGCAUCUAGAAAGGAAGCACACUCCUCUACAAAGAGAGAAGUUUGAGCAGAAGUUUGAGCAGCCAACUGCCAGUUCCAUUUUUCUAGGACCCUCCCUAGCAAGGCAAUGUGGAGAUAAGCAUUUCUCCUCCCAGCAAGUUCAGCUCCUUGAUGAAGGCCGAGGCAGCCCUGCCAGCUCCAGAUCUCGGCAGCUGCAGUUGCGG